UCCAUGAACAUUUUGACUUUUUAUUUUCAAAUUUUGAAGGGAUCCAUCCCCCCAUUUCUAAGUUCUAUGAUUUUAAGAGUCAGCCUUAGGAAAACUGGGGUUCCUAGCUGCAACUAGUUUGAUCAAUAUUUAAAUGAACUUCCAAAAUGCACCAACAUUAAAUAAUCCAUCACCCAAGAUUUAUUAAGUCAAUCUUCCUUGAGUAAUAAUAAAUGAACUAGAUUCACAUAAACAACAUUAUCACAUAAACAACAUUAUCACGAGCCCUUAAAAUAUUAUCAAUCUGCCAUAGCAAAAUGACUAAGCUUCAGUUCAAACAAGCACUGUAUUUUCUUCAGAACACCCUAAACCCGCACUAAAAUACCUCAAGUCCACACUGUCCAUCCAAGCUGAUCAUUACGAAUUAAACCCGGCAUUGAUAUCCAACUAAGAAGUUAAUUCAAUGCCUGAAACCCGCCCUGUCAAAGUAGAUACCCUUGUUGAGCUUGAUGAUACCCUCCCGUUUGACUCCAAAUACCCGUUGAAUCCGGUCAAAGCACAAUGUCUGACCAAAUCAACAGCCAGUUGAACCUGAUACCCGCAAGGGUCCCGCAGAUACCAGCCUCGCAGGGUCAACCCAGGUUCAAACCGCACUCUCCUAGCUCGUCGCCCGAUCGGCCUCGACACGUCCGUGCAGUGCUUGCCAGCUCUCGAAUCCACCUCCUCUAUGCAGAAUCUGAAGUUCUCAAACUGCUAUUCCUCAAAUUCUAAUUCGUGAAACUCUUCCCGUUCAAGAUCAGCUCCAUAAUUUUGCGGGUUUACCUGUAAAAUCCCGUUCACCUUCAAUUUUUCUUCCCAAGACUUUAGAUCACAAGAGAUUGGAAGCAAACAUGUGGAUCAAGCUCCGACGCGGUUUCGUCCAGCGAUUAUCAAACACUUGCAGUCAGCUCAAAGCUUCAGAUUUUCGCAAGUCUCCCAAACCACAGCAGCUUUCAAACCCCAAACUCCUGUCUUCAGCUGACUCCGUCUUGACAGUUGCGGCAAGAUCUAAACUCGCAGCUCAUUCGACCAAACCCAGGACUGACCGAAGUUCGCCUCAAAUCCGACACUGCCACCCAACUCCCGAAUCCUCACACUCACACACCCCGAUCAAAGCCUGCCCUCACCUUCCUCCCGGCUCUUAUUCACAAACUCAAAACAACCGAAACCAAGCUGCAUAUGUUCAAAACCCACACACUCGCGUUCAUCUCAACCAAAUUCCGAUCAGACCUUGCUAAAAGAAACCUUUCGACCCACAUUUAUUCAUUCAAACUCAGCAUGCUCCCAGUUUCCUUCCCUCACCUCAACCAGACCGAUCAAACCCCAAUCAGCGGUCAGUCUUUUCUCUCAAAACCGGCACCAUCGACCCAGCCCUACAAGAUCCGAUUUCUCACUCCCCGAAACCAAAACCCGAGUGCGGAGAGCCUGCCGCAACCUCAAGCUGGUUUCCUUCAAGUUCAGUCUUUUCAGAUCAUGUCGAAGAAAUCGUCUCGAAUCCUUGCAGCUGCUCUCAAGCCCAAAACAGUCACCUCACAAACUCUAACGCCUAAUCCCUGUACAAACCAAUCACAUAACUCCCCUCACACUCCUCCAACCUAAGGAGGAAAGAAAAUUAACGGAAGAAAACAUGGUGGAGAUGUAGCAAUGGUGCCAUCACCAAGACCAGAUGAAUAUAAAGUAUUACAGAAAAAACAAGUUGUUGAGAAGAAAUGUUCAUGAGUGAAGCUUCCAAAGUUGUACAAGGAGCUCACCAAAAUGUGGAGAUUUGAACAUUUUUAUUGAUGGAGUUGUCAAGAUAUAAUGCAAGAAUUGCCAAUCAAUGGUGAUAAAAAGAAGUACUAAUGUUGUUGUACUAAAUAAGGUGAGUUUUGAGGUUGCACAAGACUUAUAGGCAUUUUUUAGGGACCGAAAUAUAUACAAAGGUUGUGGAUGCAAAAUUAUUGCUUCAUGUAAGGAUUUGGCCUUAAUUUAUAUUAUUUUUUGUUCCAUACUAUUGUACAUAAGAAAAGUUUAUGUAAUGGUAGAUUUUACUACCAUAUGACUAUGAUCAUCAUAUUUGUAUUAAUAAAUAUUAGAUGUCUAAUAUUUUUUAAAUUUAUUUAUUUAUUCUAAAUAAUGAAUAUUUAAAAUCAAGAAUACCAAAUUGCAAAUGUCAAUUGUGAGCAUGACUUAGAUGGUUAUGUUUCAAUAAUACAUUUUAUGAAAAAAAAAACAAUGACUAAAGAAUCAAAAAAAAAUUCACUAUUAUGUAACAUAAUUAAUCCAUAUUGUUAACUUUCAUCAUAUUAUUAAUCAUAUUACAAUCAAUAAUUUUUUUCACCACCAUAAAUUUAUUAGAAACAUCAAUGGUUGUGCAUAGCAUUUCAAGCUUUAAAAUAUUAGAUAUCUACAUAUGCUUUACAAAUAUAUAAAUUAUCAUAAAAUACAAAAUAUAUUGAUUUUAGUAUUUUUUGAGGAUUCUUCAUGAAUAAAAAGCAUGGAAAUUCUUUCAAUGCCAUAAAUAAUCUCUACAUUGCAAUUGAAGUUAUUGCAAUUGAAGUUAUUGUUGCAUCCAUUUUAUAAAGAUUUGGAAGUAAAUGCCAUGUUGAAUAAUGCAUAAAGAUUGAAAAAUUAAAUAUACUCCAAUCAUAUUUUUUUUCUCACCUCAAGGUUUUGGAGAUUCAUGAUGUACUUGGAUAAAAGCUUUUAUCUUGUAUACAGAUCCAUGUGUCAAGGACAAGAACUUGAUGAAAAAACAAUCCAGACAAGUGAGCCUUCACUCAAAGAAAGGUAACAAAAUAUAAAUAAAUAAGUAUGUAUAUUGAAAGAGAAACUAGAAUGACUAUUGCCAAAAGACAAGAAAACUAGAGACCCUUGAAACUAGACUAGAAGCAAGAAAGGAGUUGACCAGAGUGAAGAAGGCUUCACUCUUGUUUCUAUAUAUAUUAUCUAACUAGGGGCUACAUGGCGAUGUUUUAUAGGACCUCGAAUAUGGGUUGACUUUGUAGGACACAUGCCUUGACUUACAAGGCAAGUUUUUCUACGUGUGGGCCACAUAGUUAGCUUGAUCUUCAAGCUAAUAACAUGUGUGGCACAUGGCCAAGGUGUUGACUACGUUUCUAAUCCAAAAAGUCAAUUAAAGACACCUAUGAAGUCAAAGCAGCAUCUAUUAAGCUUCUAGGAAGCUUCCAUAUUAAAUACUAUAGAAUUAACUAAUUUUUACCUACUUUUACUUAUUUCUACCUAUUUGUAUAUGUAAUUACUAGCUUACAUGAGUAUGUCCGUGACAUUACCCCCCCUUUUAGGGACGAGUUCCACGAGGAGCGGUCAUCAUAUGUUGAGGAAAUUUAUGAUGCGACGAAUUGUAUUCGUCACAUACUCUAAUCUUUGUUUUCUUCGAAGAUGAUUGAUAGGACCUCUCAACCAUCAAUAAUGUCCCAUACCAGGGCGGGAAGACCACCUAGUUAUUUGAUCAUUGUUGAGGCCUUCAUAACUUCCUUCGAAUAGAACAUUUGGAACACCAUCAGGAGUUGUUCCUACCUCUAGCAAAAUCAUCAAACAUCGGGAGUCCCUUCCCAAAUCGUGAUACCAAACACAUUGUAUCUCGCCAUCUAUUCGAGGAAGAACAUGUCAUUCUUGAAGAUCUUCAUCUCGAUAACGUCGUCUUGAAGAUUGUGACAAUCGUAAUGUCUCGUCCGGUAGGUCAGCAAAGGAAGACUCUUGAGUCAAAUCCACUGGUUGUUGAUUUUCCAUCUCCUGAACAUCACAACUACAAAGAAGCUACGAAUAAGGAUUGAAAGUAGAAUGUUAUCUUACCUAGAUGUUGUUUUUUUUAUAAAGAAGGUUUUCAUCUUGAUUUUGAUGGAUGUCGUCGAUGAAAAGCCUCCACCGCCUUUGUUGCAUUUACAAGAUUCUUUAUUGGCUCCCAUGUGCGUUCACUAAUACCAUAUCCAUACCAAUGGGUAAGAUAUUCUAAUUUAUUUCGGCAUCGCCAAGAAUCUAAGACUUCUUCUACUUCAAACUCUUCAUUAUUAUCUACUUCUAUAGGAGAAGGUGGAGCUUGUCGUCUUCUUGGUAUGUCCACUAUCUUGUAUGAUUCAAGAAGAGACAUUUGAAAUUCUGGAUGGAUUAUCAUUGACUCCGGUAGAUGUAAAAGAUAUGCAACUGGAUUGAUUUGUGCAGAAAUAGAAAAUGGUCCUAGCUUUCGAUAGUCCCACUUGUCACAAGGACAAGUGGUCUUAAUAUUGCGACGAAGUAGCCAUACCUUAUCACCCAAGGUGAAUGGUGGUUGUUUCUUUCGAUAGACAUCCGCAUUGACCUUUUGUUGUUCUUGAGCCUCUUUUAAUUGCGCCUUCAUUGUUGCAUGUAGCUCUGAUAAAUGAAUCGCCAAAUCUUUCGCAGUAGGAUUAUCAACUUUUAAAAAGUCAAAAGUAUGAAGUCGUGGAUGAUAACCAUAAUUAGCAAAGAAAGGUGUUUGUUUUAUAGAAGAAUGUAUUGUGUUAUUAUAAACAAACUCUGCCAAUAGCAAGAGAGUUGUCCAAUCAUCUUAUUGGUAGUUAAUAGUACAUCUUAAAUAUUGCUCCAAAACUUGAUUAACACGCUCCGUUUGUCCAUCACUUUGAGGAUGGAAUGUCGAAGAUAGUUUUACAUCCACUUUUAGAAUCUUGAAAAGAGUCCGCCAAAAUCUUGAUACGAAUUGAGUUCCCCUAUCUCAUAUAAUAUCCUUGAAUAAUCCAUGAUAGCAAUAGAUAUUGUAAGGAAAGAGCUUAACUGUUUCUUCACCUGUGAUAGAUUUUAUACAUGAUACAAAAUGUGCCAUCUUGGUAAAACGAUCUACUAUCACGAAUAUAGAAUUAAAAGAACCUGAGAUUGGAAGAUCCAUGAUGAAGUCCAUAAAAACAAAAGACCAUGGUUGUUUUGGAAUGGGUAAUAGCUGAAGAAGUCCAAAAAGUCGAUGACGAGGAGUUUUUGAUCUUGAGCAAACAUCACAUGAUUGUACAAAAUCUUUGACUGUGUUCCACAUUUGAGGCCACCAAAUAUCCCUAGAUAUCAGCUCCAAAGUCUUAUUAUAUCCAAAAUAUCCUACUGCUGGUAAGUCGUGACAAGCUUGAAGAACAUAUAAACGUGCUUCUCUUUCUGGAACAUAUAGGCGUCCUUCAAAAUAGAGUAGGUUGUUCUUGAAUUCAAAUUUAGAGGAAUCAUGAGAUUAAGAAGAAUUAUUCUUGAUAUCAUGAAGAAGAGGGUUUGAAGACAUACUUAACUGGACUUGCUUAAGAAAAGUUAAAUCAAUAGUCAAUAUUGAUUUUAUUGCUCAAAGAUGAAAUUACUCUGGCUUCAAGAGAACCAUUCUUUGUUGCUCAAAAGUUGCAUCUCCUCCUUUUGAUGUAAGAUAAGAACGUCUAGACAAGGCAUCGAACAAACCUUAUUGUUUUCCUGGCCGAUAAGUGAUGAUGAACUCGAAUCUUGAUAAAGACAUGCUCCAAUGAGCUUGACGACAAUUUAAUACACAUGCUGACAUAAAAUAUUCGAGGUUCUUGUGAUUCGUAUACAUGGUGAUUGGACUGGAAGCGCCUUCUAGAUAAUGAUGCCAUUGUUGAAAAGAAUCCACAAUUGCAAGAAGUUCUUUGUCGUGGAUCUCAUAAUUGAUUUUUGCUGCUGAGAAUUUUCUUGAAUGAAAGGCUACUAGAUGAAGUUUGUCAUCUGUUCUCAUUUGUGAUAAAAUCGCAUCCAGAGCAAAGUCUGAUGCAUCUGUUUCCAUAAAGAAUGUUUUGAAAAAAUCAACACGAUACAAGAUUGGUGCAGAAACAAAUGUUGUCUUCAAAGAUUCAAAACCAACUUCUGCUUCUUGAUUCCAUUGGAGUUUGUCUUUACAAGUCAAACGUGUAAGUGGAGCUGCAACUCGAGAGAAGUCUUUGAUGAAGAUCUGAUAGUAGUUGGCAAAUCCCAAAAAAUAUUGGACAUCUCUUACCAUUUUUGGGAUCUUCCAAUCUAUAAUAGUUUGAACUUUCUUAGGAUCCAUCAUAAGUCCAUCAUUUGAAAUGAUGUAACUUAAGAAAUCGACUUGAGUAGUGUGGAAUACACACUUUUCUAUCUUGGCAUAGAAUCCUGCAUCUCUUAAUUUUUGUAACACAAGACGAACAUGAAUUUCAUGUUCUUCUGGAUUCUUAGAAUAGAUCAAGAUGCCGUCUAGAUAACAUACCACAAAAUUGUCCAAAAACUCUCAAAAAACAUCAUUCAUUAGAUGUUGAAAAGCUGCUGGUGCAUUUGUAAGUCCAAUAGGCAUGACGUUGUAUUCAAAAUAUCCAUACUUAGUUCGAAACGCUGUCAUAUUACGUGCUUUCAUGCUUGAGAACGCGCCGGGCGUCUGGCUGUAGAAGGUAGUAUGGAGAUCCGCCGAUAGUCAAGCAGUCUAUCAGUUUUUACUGCUGGAAUAUAAACGACUACAAGAAUACACCGUAAAUAUUUACAGAUGCCCUUCGACUGCUUGUCGAAGUCCUUUUUUUGCCCCAGCCGGUAGGUCUUUCAUUUAAAAAUCCCGAUUCACCAUUACAACACUGACUUCAGCAGCGAUUGUCUCAGUUGUCCCAAAACUCUACGAAGAAGAAAAAUCCAAAUUCUAUGUCUUUCCUUCCCCGACCCGAAGCAUGAAGCUCCUCUCUCUAAUUCCCUUGAUCUUCCAAAAACCUCUAAUGAAAAACCGAACUAGUAACCUUGCAAAAGCUUGAAAACUCGCUCCCCCCGAUUCCCCCCGAAAAAAAAACCUCCCCCCUCAAAACUAUAUCCCCCCUAACCUUAUCCUCUGAAUUUCUUCAAUCUUCCAUCUUAGAUCCGGAAUUGGCUCCCACCUCAAGCUUGGAUCCGAAAUUGGCUCUCGCCGUCAAACUUUCUCCUCCGUUUUUACCUUUAAGAAAUCCAUUUACCGAAAACAACGUUCCUUGAAACGGCACAGAGAACAGGACAGCCUGAAACAGAAUCGAACCCCGUAAUCGGCACCACAUUGAGUCGCCCGACCAAUUUAGGUCCUAUAUUGGGAAAGAUGCCCGUAGUAACCUGGAUGUUCCCGUAAUUGGGUCAAAUUGGUCCUCGCGUCAGAUUGGCUAAGACCCGUAGUAAGACCUGGAUUUCUCGUAAUUAGACUACAUUGGGUUGCCCCACCAAUACAGGUCUCAUAUUGGAUAAGAGGACCCGGAUUGGAUUCUCGAAAUUGGAUCCAAUUGGCUCCUCAAACCCGUCAUGUGAAUUGGUCCUUCUCUUCCUGCUGACUCCCGUUAUUGGAAUCGAAUGGAGCAUUUCAGUAUGCCCCGGCUGACUGUAACAGAGUGACUGAACCUGACCACUCAAUAUUUGUACUGGAGUUGGUUGAUGCUCCCAAUAUUCGAGGUAACUGAAUAUUAAUAAAAUUCCCCUUUCUUUUUAUUUUCACUAUAUACUCGUGUUACAACACGACAUCCACCCCCUCUGAACCUGAGCAUCCUCCGGUAUGCACCAAUUUACCCAAUUGCUGUUUGAUUCAGAAUAUAUCCCCUACGUCUUUGUCCAGUUCGUCUUCGUCACCUUCAUUAUCCAUAUCACUUUCAUCUUCUUGCUGCGGAAUCUUUGUACCUUCAUUAAGGUCUUCCAUAUUCAUCUCUGCAUGUCUUCGUUUAAAUAUUUUUACUCGCUUCCCUGCAAUUGGUAUUUUCAAUUUUGUACCAUCUAACUCCCGUAAUGAGUAAGUCGCAUUAUCAUGAACAGUUGUUAUAACAUAUGGUCCAAACCAACGUUUUGAAAAUUUCCGCAAAGUACUAUGUUGAUUAUCCAGAUUAUUGUCAUAAACAAGUACCCAGUCACCUUCCUCGAUUGCUUUUGGUCUCAAUCGAUGUUGCUUAUCGAAUCGCGCCUUGUUUUGUAACCUUGCUCUUUUUAACCUUUCCAAUGCUAUCUGGACAUCUUCCGAACUUUGCUCCAAUUGUCGAAUCCUAAUAGCCAGAAGUUCUUCUCUUGUCAAUCCAUCUUCCCAUGGUAGCAUACUCCAAGUAAGUACCUUUUCUUCAAUCGGCAUAAUUGGUUUUUGACCUGUCAUAAGUUCUACUGGCAUAUAUCCUGUCACCGAACUAUGUGUUGUUCGAUCAGUCCAUAAUGCAAAUGACAAAAGCCGUGGCCACUCUUUAACCUUCCCAUUACAAGCUUUAACCAAAGCUUUCACAAUCGGCGGGUGACCGCGUUCGCUUUUCGCAUUCCCUUCCGGAUUAUAAGCAGUAGUCAGUGAUAGUUUAACUCCACAUUUUUCAAAGAACUUACGAGCUUCUUGUGCAUUUAAUUCUCUACAAUCUGCAGUGAUUUUUCCUACGCACCCGUAACAGCAAAUGACAUCUUCAAGCAAAAACCUACAAAUCCCCUCUGUAGAUUUUGUCCUCAAUGCUCUUCCUUCUACUUGAUUUGAUAAAUCUUCACGAGCUAAAACCAAAUACCUCAUCUGCCAUAACCCAACCGGCAUAAUAACCAAAUCAACAACCCAUUUAAAAUGAAUAGCCAGAGGAUACGUAGGAUGAAGACCAUCUCGAUGUCGGAUAUUAGAAUACGAUUGACAGAUUUCACAUGACUCUACAAAUGAGAGCACAUCUCGAUACAUAUUUUUCCACCAAUAUCGUUCCUUGAGUUUAGCAAAAGUAGCCCAGAUUCCUCUAUGCCCUGCCCAUAAACUAUCAUGAAACUCCUUUAAUAAUUUUAGUUUUUCUUCCCUUUUGCCUAUCACUCGUUGUGGCAUCCCAAUUCCUUUCUUCGGUCUCUUCCAUAAGAAUCCAUCUCGAAGUAAAAAUCCAUAUGCUUUUUUUCUUAUUUGUUUGAAUUUUUCUGUAGACCAAUUCCCCUGCUUAGACAAGGUAUUCAAAUAAUGACCAAUAUCCAAUAAUUCUCCUUCAUAAGAUUCUUCAAGAAAUAGCUUGUCUUCUCUGUUGAGAUUUGAUAUUGAAUAAAAUUUCAAUCCAACAUCAUCAAUGUCUUCAACCAUUUCGUCCUCCCUCUCGUAUCUUGCUCGAGAUAGCAUGUCUGCUACUAAAUUGUCCUUUCCAGUGAUACUGGAAAGAAUUCUGGAUUUAGUGACUUAAUAUAAGCAAUCCAUCUCAACAUUGCAAUAUCUGGCGUUGAACAGUUAAUAAUCAUUCCAAGCAAUGGCAAGCAAUCUGUUUCAAUUACUACUACUGCCCCAAUCAAAUAGUCCUUUUCAGCUUUCAUAGCCGAAACGACUCCCCAAAGUUCUCUUUUGACUUGCGAAUAUGCACGCUGACGAAUACUUAAAACUUUAGCCCCAAAUCGAACUGCAAAUCUACUCCCAUUCGAAUCAUCUUGACCCACCGCCCAUCCAAUGGCAAUUGGACUAGCGUCUACAGUAAGAAUCACUGGUCUAUUGCACUUAUAAUCAACCUUCCUCAAUAUUGGAGGUGACAUCAAAAAUUUCUUCAAUCUUUGCAUUGUCUGAAUAUGCCUUUCUUCCCAUUCAAAUCGGUAACCCUUGCGUAACAGUUCAUAUAAUGGAUCCGCUAUGUGAGCAAAAUGAGGGAUCCAGAUUCGAUAAAAUACACAUGCACCCAAAAACCUGCGAACCUCUGUUAAAGAACCACAAUCCUCUUUCAUCCUUCCAAUUACAUCAACUUUAGUCGGAUCUGGUUUUCUUCCGUAAGAUCCGCAUAAAUGUCCAACAAUUACAACCUCUCGCACUCCAAAUACGGACUUCAUACCCGAUAAUGUAAGAUGAACUUCUCCAAGCCGAGUUAAAAUCUUUUCACAAUCUUGUAUAUGAUCAACAACAUAUCUGCGACACCCCCUCGUAUCUAAAGUUUCAUCCUUGUCUCCUUCUUUGCACCCUUUUAUAGGAACAUCAUCCAGAAAAGGCAUAGUCUUUUCCGGGAUAAAAUCUCUCAAUACCUUAUUCAUCCCAUUCAUCAUAUGCGCAACUGAGUUGGUCGCGCCUUGAGGAAGAGUGCACAUUCUAACCAAUCCAAGCGGUGUCCUCAUCGUUGUCAUAUCUCUACUUCCUUCGGCAAGUUAAAAUUGAUCAUAACCUGAAUACAAAUCACCCAUUGAAUAGAUCGCCCUUCCAACAAACGCCUCAGCAAAUUCAUCCACAAUAGGUCCAAUUCCUGCAUUCCUGACAGUUACAGCAUUCACCGGCUGCAUAUCUUGAAUAAACCGCAGUGACCCAUUCUUCUUAGGUACCGUAAACCAUCGACUAGAAUACGGUGCAAAUGAAGGUUCUAAUAUUUUCAUCUUUAUCUUUUCUUUCAAUAGUUCCACCAAUUUAGGUAAAUGUGCCCUCGGUACUGAAAUCGGUCUUAGAUUCCAAGGUACAUGCGGUACAGUGAAGAUAACCAUAGGUGUUAUAAUAUUUGGAUCCACACACCCAAUUUCAUGAGAUUCGAAGGUAAACGAUCUACCUUGUUUAGCCAACAUCUUUUUGAAGCAAGUAAUUUCCUCCGGCAAUAAAGAACCAUCAGAACCAAUCUUCAAUUCUUCAAAAGUCUCUUCAGUAAACUGAUGUCCAAUACUCAUUGGAUCUUUUAAACUUGCUUCUUUUGAUGCUUCUCCCAUUUGUUCUUUAGAAUCCUCUGGUAAUGGUCCGGCAACAGGCUUUACCUUCUUAUCUGCCGUUUUAUAUCUCGUCUCUACUGUGACUUCUGGUGCUUGAAAAGAUUCAAGCAUGGUAUAAACCUCUCUCAAAUGAAUCUCAACAAUCUUAUCAUUAUUUCCUAACCCAAUAGAUGUAAUCAAUUCCAAUGAAUCUUCCAGCCCAUUUUCUUCAUAAACACCCAAAAUCCUCUCAUCAUCUUGCAAUGUACCUAUCUUGCGUAACUGUCCUUCAAUAUCAUAUAAUCUUUUUCUUUCUUUUCUUUUAAAAUCUUCAACUUUCUUAUACAUAAUAUUUCCAUUCUCCAAUAUACCAAUAAAACUCGCAUCAAAGAUACCUUCAUCUCGCAAGAGUACCUCCUCUUUUGUACCUCCAUAAUCUCGCUUUACAGUGGUACCUCCCCAAAAUCCUUAAAUCCUUCAACAAUCUUUGGCAAUGGUUUCUCCCUCAACCUAUCUCGAUUCCGUUCAUGGUUAGGAGGUACUGUUAGAAAUUGUACAGCUUUCCUCCCAUCUUCGCUCCGUACCCUUGCAUAAGCAGAACCAUCGUCAAGUACCUUUGUUUCUAUCCGUGUUGCCGUGAUAUAAGGUUGUCCUAAAAUCAACGGAUAAGACGUUGUAUCUUGAACGAAGAAAUGUUGCUCCGUAGCAACAUCCCCAAUCCGAAUUUUGACAUCUGGACAAGCUCCAUAUAAUUUGCCUCGUGUGUUAUUAGCUGCUCGUAUUGCCCAUCCAUGUUCCAUAUCAAUUGGCCAUUUUUGCUUCUUAUAAAGAUCUUUAGACAUGAGAUUUACUUCAGAACCAUAGUCGACUAAAGCAACAAUUGGUUCUUCUAUAUCUCCUAUUUUCACCAAUACCUCAGUAGUUGCCCUUGCCCAAAGCUUUCGAGUAUAAUGGCUCAAAGUUUCUAUUUCCUUAUCAGUAUAAUCUUCGAAACGUACUUAUUGAUUAUACCCAUUCUUUGCAUUUGUUGGUUGCUUGUAACUAAUAUCAACCUCUUCUUCUUCUUUAUAUAUUCUUGCAUCAAUAGCAUGACUCAUUUCAGUUUCGCCCAUUAAUUGCCUCCUUUGCUUAAUGCUGUCAAUGAUAACAUCAUGAAAUUCCUUCUUUGCAAUUCCCAAGACUUCUUUCAAUGUAAAUUCCACCUUAGCGUUUAAUAUACGUUCUUCCAACACCCCUUUCAAAUUUGUUGCCACUUCAAUGUCAGAAAGUAGCUUAUAAGCAAUUGAUUUGCCCUUAUCUUUUGUCUCCGUUGUUUUUUCUCCCAAUGAUGCUGAGGUAUCCUUUAAAGGCAAUUCUUGUGAAGCUGCCUCCCGAGCCUUGUCUCCUCGAGUUUGCCUCUUAAAAGAAUUUCCUUCUCUAGUAUCAUCAAAAUUUCCUCGUCUUUUUUCUUCCAUCAAAGCUUCAUGUUGGCUCUUAGCAAUAUAUGCAUGAACUGAAAGAGACUCAACAGGAUCCUCCCAACCUGUUCUUCCUCGUAUUGUAGCUGCAGUUCUCAAUAACGCUUCUCGAUGUAAUUUCCCUUCUUGUAUUGUAGAAACGGCAGAAGCCCAAAACUCACUAGUUUCCGUACUUCCACCAAUUUCAUCAUCUACUCUAGCACCAUAACUUGCACUUUCUCGUGCUGCUGUUUCAUGCUCUUUUAAGUAAUCUUGAACCAAUGCUCUCAUUCCUCCCUUGCCAAAAUUGGUUUGAAGAAGAUCCUCCCUAUCUUUCAAUGCUAUCUUCCCAUCUUUCCAGCAAAUAAUUCCCUGCCGUAUCAUAUUAUUAAAUUCAUUGCAAUCUUUUCUAGUGUGUGAAGCAUCAUCACACCAAAUGCAUCUUUGUACAUAUCCUUGUUUUGAAACAUUCUUCGAAUUGUUUAUAGAAGUAUUCUCUUCAAGUCUUGCCAAUUUGAUUUGAAGAUCUCGCAUUCCUCGUAUAAUUUCUUCCAUACCCAUAUCUUCUUUCUUUGACAAGGAUGUGGAAGGUUGAACUGUAGGCAUUGUCGGUGGUGUUGUACGUACUGGAGCUUUGGGUGCUUGUACUGUUCUCGGAAUAUUGCUCCUAUCCUUCUUCCUUUCUUUUUUUGUAAGCAAUCCCACUGCAUCUUCAACGUUCUUCUACUUCGUUGUCAAUCCUUCAUCUUCUUCUUUGUCUUCAAGAAGGGGUUCUAAUUUCUCUUGCAAUUCUCCAUCAGCAGCUUGAAGAAAUAGAUCAACUUUGUUCGGCUCCAAUGUCAAUUUUUCUACCUUCGAUAAUUGAGAGUACUGCCUCUCAAAUUCCCUUAGUAGCUCUGUUGCUUACAAAUUCUUAUUGGGCCGUUCAAUCCAUCCUAGAAACAGCUUCUUAGUAACGCGAUCAGCAUCUUCCAAGAUAUAUUCGUCUUUCAAUGCAUGUGAAAAAACCUCCCAUGAAUUCCCAUAACGAUCCGUAUUCGAUGUAAUGUGGUCCCUUAUCUCCGGUAUCGUGGCAAGUCCAAAUAGUGCAACCAUUUUCUUCUCUGAAACCCGAUUUAAUUCCAUUUCACGAACAUAACAUCUUAAAUACCUUGAAAUAUUCCUCUCAUCAAAUUGAUCAAUUUUAUUGACCACUGCUUGCAAUGCUUUAGUUGCCAAAGCUUCCUUUUGAUCAUUGCUGUGCUGUUGCUGCAUUGACAAUGAGAAGGCUUGAAACAAACUAGCAAUAGACGGAUCCAUGUGCAUACCUUGUCCUUUAGAAGACUCCCCACCAGAAAUUUCUCCCAAAAAUCCUUCAAAAUUUUUAUUUUCGUUUUCCAUAAAAAAUAAAGAUAAAAUCAACCGAAAUCCAAUACCUUCCACCUCAAGCGUUUACGUCGGGUUCACCACUUAUGUCGUAUUACGUGCUUUCUUGCUCGAGAACGCGUCGGGCGUCUGGCUGUAGAAGGUAGUAUGGAGAUCCACGGAUAGUCAAGCAGUCUAUCAAUUUUUAUAUCUGGAAUAUAAACGACUGCAAGAAUACACCGAAAAUCUUUAUUGAUGCCCUUCGACUGCUUGUCGAAGUCCUUUUUUUGCCCCAGCCGGUAGGUCUUUCAUUUAAAAAUCCCGAUUCACCAUUACAACACUGACUUCAGCAGCGAUUGCCUCAGUCGUCCCAAAACUCUACGAAGAAGAAAAAUCCAAAUUCUAUGUCUUUCCUUCCCCGACCCGAAGCAUGAAGCUCCUCUCUCUAAUUCCCUUGAUCUUCCAAAAACCUCUAAUGAAAAACCGAACUAGUAACCUUGCAAAAGCUUGAAAACUCGCUCCCCCCGAUUCAACCCGAAAAAAAAACCUCCCCCCUCAAAACUAUAUCCCCCCUAACCUUAUCCUCUGAAUUUCUUCAAUCUUCCAUCUUAGAUCCGGAAUUGGCUCCCACCUCAAGCUUGGAUCCGAAAUUUGCUCUCGCCGUCAAGCUUUCUCCUCCGUUUUUACCUUUAAGAAAUCCAUUUACCGAAAACAACGUUCCUUGAAACGGCACAGAGAACAGGACAGCCUGAAACAGAAUCGAACCCCGUAAUCGGGACCACAUUGAGUCGCCCGACCAAUUUAGGUCCUAUAUUGGGAAAGAUGCCCGUAGUAACCUGGAUGUUCCCGUAAUUGGGUCAAAUUGGUCCUCGCGUCAGAUUAGCUAAGACCCAUAGUAAGACCUGGAUUUCCCGUAAUUAGACUGCAUUGGGUUGACCGACCAAUUCAGGUGUCAUAUUGGAUAAGAGGACCCGGAUUGGAUUCUCGAAAUUGGAUCCAAUUGGCUCCUCAAACCCGUCGUAUGAAUUGGUCCUUCUCUUCCUGCUGACUCCCGUUAUUGGAAUCGAAUGGAGCAUUUCAGUAUGCCCCGACUGAGUGUAACGGAGUGACUGAACCUGACCACUCAGUAUUUGUACUGGAGUUGGUUGAUGCUCCCAAUAUUCGAGGUAACUGAAUAUUAAUAAAAUUCCCCUUUCUUUUUAUUUUCACUGUAUACUCGUGUUACAACACGACAACGCAGUCUUUCAUUCAUCUCUUUCUUUGAUGCGUACUAGAUUGUAUGCUCCCCGAUGAUCUAUUUUUGUAUAGAUCUUAGCUUGAUACAGCUGAUCAAGAAGUCUAGAUAUUAAAGGUAGUGGAUACCUGUUCUUGAUGGUAAUCUUGUUGAAUCCUCGAUAAUCAACACACAUCUGCAAUGAUCCAUCUUUUUUCUUCACAAAUAGAAUUGUAGCUCGUGCCGGAGAUUUAGAAUGGCUUAUAAAAUUCUUGGCUAGAUUUUCUUCAAUAUACUCCUUGAGUUCAGCCAACUCAUUUUGUGAUAAACUAUAGAUUGGUCCGAAUGGCGGUUGUGCUCCUUCUUGAAGGUCAAUUGAGCAAUGAUAGGGACGAUGUUUUGGAAGUGUAUCUACAUUCUUUUUUUCAAAUACAUCUUAAAAUUCUUGAUAUUAGCUUGGAAUGCCACUUGAAGUCUUUUAAUCAGUAGGAAUGGGUGUAGCAUAAAUAAUAUAUGGUGAUUCUUUCAUAGCAGCAUGCAAGAAAGCUUUUGCACCCAUAAAUACGGGUUUAAUUGAACUGGACUUAUGACUCUCUACUUGAUUAACUACACUGUUAGUUAUACUUUUAGAGAAAUGUAAGAAUUUGAGAAAUCUAAUCUAUUUCAAGAUUAUAUUUUUUUAACCACGAUAAACCUAAAAUGAUUGGAUUAGAGGGAGAUCUAAUGAUAUUAAAUACUACAAAACUAUUAUGACCAUUGAUUAUUACUUCUGUAGGAAGGGUUUCAUGAGUAAUAUAUCCAAAAGACAAUGGACGACCAUCUAUGACUUCUACAUGAAUAGGUUUAAUUUUCUUUACUAAAGAUAUGCUAUGUCUUUUAAUAAAUUCUUCAUCUAAAAAACACGCUGAGGCUCCAGAAUCUAACAAGGCAGAGACUUUAUAAUAUUUGGGUCCUAAAAUAAUAUUUAAUGUAAAAAAAAGAGAGGGCUCUGAGGAGAGAAUAGGACCUUUACUUGAUGUUGUGCAAGGUUCCAGCCGCACGGUCACUAUUGUAGUUGGACAAACUCGUUUUCUGACAUAUUGUCUUCUUUCACAGCCAUACUCCUCAUUUUGUGAUUACGUCGUUUCUUUGGAUAAUGUUGAGCAGUGUGCUUUGGUUCUCCACAAUAUAAACAUAAUCCUUCUUGACGACGACGAGUCUUUUCUUGCUCAGUAAGAGGUUUGAAACAUACUGCAUCAAUUUACAUAUCCUCUACUUCCAAAUGUAUGUGUUGAAGAGGUGUUGGUGUUGCUAUUGAAUUAUAGUAACGUUGAGGUAUACUUGUACGGUUCUCAGAUCGAAAUUCAUAAAGGUGAUUGUCGCACUUCAUAGCAAAGUCAAUUGCUUGACUCAAUGUUUGAGGAUCAAGUAAGUUGAGCAUUAAUUUUUUUACCUCAUAUUGUAAUCCAUAGAGUAAUUGGCUAAUAAGUGCAGCAUCAUCCCACUUGAUAUCAAUUGUAAGUUGUCAAAAUUGUGAAGCAUACAAUGUUAUUGAUCAAUUGCCUUGUCGUAAAAUACAGAUCUUAUUGGUUACAAUACGAAUUAUGUCAUGUUCUUCAUACAUGGAUCGAAACUCCGCUAGAAAAGCCUCUAAAUUAUCCAAUAUUGGAUCUCGUCGUUCAAGAAAAGAUGAAAACCACGAUAGUGCUGAACCUGAAAGAAGCGUACCAAUGAAUCCAACUUGCGAUCCUGGAGUUGGAUAGCUUUGGGGUUGAAGUUCAAUUACAAGUUGGACUUGAUUGAUAAAUCCUUGAAACAUAGAUCUGGUGCCAUCAAACUUCUCGGAUAGGAUAAUUCUUGGUUCUCUAAUAUUGGAAGGGCGUUCCACCAUAGGAAAAAGGACAUGGUUUGGUACAGAUGUUGAAGCAGCUCCAACCAUUUCUAUAUCUUCACUUCCUGCCAAUCUUGUUGCUCCUUGUAGUGGUAAAUUGAAUUGAUGCAUCGCAAGCAUUAAUUCUCUCAAUUGCUCUUGCAUUUGUGCCAUUGCAUUCUUCAUUUCAACAAGUUCUGCCAUGAUAACACUUAGAGAAGAUGUCUAAUAUCACUCAAGACAAAUAGAAGAGAGGACUUGAGAACAAAGAAAAUAUUAAGGAUAAUAUUAAUUUUAGAAGAGGAUAAUCUGCAACUUCUAAUAUGCUUAUAUCUUAUCAAGAAAAAGGGGUAAUCCACUCUUAAUCAAGAUUAGACAAAGCUCUGAUAUUAUAAGUGUACUCUUGUCAAUCUGUCAAGGACAAGAACUUGAUGAAAAAACAAUCCAGAUAAGUGAGCCUUCACUCAAAGAAAGCUAACAAAAUAUAAAUAAAUAAGUAUGUAUAUUGAAAGAGAAACUAGAAUGGCUAUUGCCAAAAGACAAGAAAACUAGAGACCCUUGAAAUUAGACUAGAAGCAAGAAAAGAGUUGACAAGAGUGAAGCAGGCUUCACUCUUGUCUCUAUAUAUACUAUCUAACUAGGGGCUACGUGGCGAUGUUCUAUAGGACCUCCAAUAUGUGUUGACUUUGUAGGAUACAUGCCUUGACUUACAAGGCAAGUUUUUCUACAUGUAGGCCACAUAGUUAGCUUGAUCUUCAAGCUAAGAACAGGUGUGGCACAUGGCCAAGUUGUUGACUACGUUUCUAAUCCAAAAAGUCAAUUAAAGACAUCUAUGAAGUCAAAGCAACAUCUAUUAAGCUUCUAGGAAGCUUUCAUAUUAAAUACUAUAGAAUUAACUUACUUUUAUCUACUUUUACUUACUUCUACCUAUUUGUAUAUGUAAUUACUAGCUUACAUGAGUAUGUCCGUGACACCAUGUUAUAUAGAAGCCAUAUCUUUUGUACAAGUUAAGACUUUUUAAAAUUUUUGGAUUAUAUUGAAUAAAUUUACAUUCAACAAUUGAUAAUAAUUUCCAAUCUUCAUUGUUAGUAUUCUUAGACUUCAUUUAUUUUCAUAACCAAGGGUUUUACACUAAGCUCUGAUUCAAAAGAAUCCCAUAAUGAUUUGGUGUAUAAGUGACAUAGAUUUGGAGGAAAAUUCUUAGAUCCAUGUAUGGAUUUAAGGGUUUUUGAAGAGUGUAUUGGUUUUGGAGAAUCAACUCUUCUCUUUGGAUUCAAGUUCAAAAAACCUUUAAAUUGAAGCUAUCAUGAGAUCCAACGACUUUACACUAGGAUCCAAGUCCAAUAAACAUAUGAAUACUUUAAUGAAUUUUUUGAGUCCAAAAGGAGGUUUCUUAAAUCCAAAUAGAAGGAUUUUGGAACUUAGUUUUUCUUGGACUGGGACCUUGGUUUAAAGCUGCCUUAACUUUGAGUAUUUAUUCCUUGAAGGUCUUGAAGGUAUCAUGUAUAUGGCACUAUAUUUGAUUCUUAGAAUAUGAAUUAUAUAUUAAAAUAUGCAAAGAUGUACAUUAACAGAUUAAUGGAUUGAUAAUUUGAUAAUCAACAACUUUCACUUGGAUGUCAUUCCAAAAUCUUACCUUAUCAUGCUCAAAUACAACACCAUUCAAAUAGAAUACAUGACAAAAAUGUGGCUUCUCAGAUCUGUAGGAGGUGCAAUUGUGAUCUAAAUUGGACUUGGUCUGAAUACAAACUUUCCUCACUACAAAAUACCUCAAUAGAUGUGCCUUCCAUGUUAAAUAAGGUGCUAAGCCUCGUUUCGAGGGCUUCUUGGGAAAAAAUAUAUAUGGCAAGAGCCCGAGGGCAUUUUUUUCCCAGCAAGCCUGAAGAUAGAGGUUUAACCUGACGUUAGGCAAAGUAGCAAAAUUAUUUUUUUGGGUAGCGGUGCUAUGCACCAUCACGGACUCGCGAUUUUAUUGCUUCAUUUUCUUCCAGAGAAAUUCCACUGCGGUGCUUAACAUAUGCAAGUUUUCUCGCGAUUUCAUUGCUUCAUUUUUUCUCAGAGAAAUUCUGCUGCAGUGCUUAACAUAUGCCAAAAACACCAUGCUACAAUCCAAAUUAGGCUUCUCAGACUUUUAAGGGUUAUAUUACAAACAUAUGUUGCUAACAAUCGAGCUGCCCUCCGCACUCAUCAAUCUUUCCUCUCUUUACACCUCAGCUCCUUACGCAGCCUAGCUAUAUUAGGACUUUUGCAGGGAGUUGGUGUCAAAGUAUAUUGCUCGUCGGCGAUGAAUGAGGAGCCAUCUCGCAUUCUUGGUUUGUCAGUAAGUUUUCGAUCCAAGUUGGGGUUUAGGUUUUUUAGCACAUCGGUCAGUUUUAUCGGUGUGUUCUGUCUCAUUGUUGUUCUUAUAUCAUCGCACUAAUAUCCAAGGCAUGGAAUUCUAGAAUCUGAGUUAAAAGUGGCAAGGAUCUCAUUUCAAAUGCACAUAAUUCUUCUCCAUAUUAGCUGACAAGCAGCUGGUGAUGUUUUCGAAGUUUGAUGCAAGUUGUAAUAUCUGGCCAUAUCCAUAUUACAACGUAGUUAAUUAGGUCGUCUUCAGAACUCCUUAAGUCCAUGCCUUGCUUGGUUGAUGGCAUGAAAUGAUGAGUGGACACCAAUAGUUUGCCACUAUUGUUCACCCCCGGUUUUUGUGAGAAAACUUGGUGUAUUGAUUGCACUAGAGUUUCGGCUGGGAUUUUAGUUGAUGAACUUGGCUCUGUACGUGAUGUCCCAUUUGAGACAUACUUUUUGUUGGUGGUGUAGGUACAUUGUAGUGGGUUUCUCUCUUUGAGAAUAUUGGGUUCAUCCAUUCUCUUGUACUAAUCAUACGGGGACCAUUCAGAAGCAGUUUGCCGGGCUUUCGGGGUAGCUCAUUUCUACCAAGACGUGGUUAGUAUCUUCGUCUCUCCAUAAUGGAGACAAGGAGUUCUUUGAAACUUCAUUUUUGUCAUGAUUGUUCUAAGUAAUAGAUCGAGUUUGAGGCUUCUCUUAACUAGCAAGAUUGAGAACUUCGAUAUCCUAUACUAGGCUCAGAUACACAGAGACACUAUAUUGAUUGCCUUACGUCAAUAGUAGCUAAAAAACUCAAAAUUGUGAAGAGAGAGACCAUUAACAAUUGCGACAGUGUGAACAAGUAUACCAUCGUCUCUCAAAGUACACCAUCAUCUCUCAUCCUUGGAUGGAAACUUUGACUAUUGAAGAAUAAGCAUUUUGAAGACACAACACUUAGCAUCAGCAAGGUUACACUCAAAGAGAGUAUGGAAUAAGAUAUCUCUCACUUUCAAUACCUAUUAUUUAUAGGUAGUGGUUGUUGCCCUAAAAGAUAACUUUCACUCUUUGACUUUUACACACGUGGCCCUAAGAUCCUUUUGAUAUCUCAUGAGCCUUAAGGAUAUCCUAUGACACAUACUAAUGACUCAAAUCUAGUUUUUGGAUAUUCCUUUAUUAAUACUUUAUCCUUUUGACUUUGGCACUUGGUCCAUGAUUUUGUCCUAUAUCCAUUGGAUGCCCUUACCAUAUACCAAGAGUCAAAACUUUGACCAUUAGCAACUUAUUUAAGUUAAUAUCUUCUAUAAAGUAACUUAUUCUACUUUUAUUUUAACACUUCUACUUUACUAUUGGUCAAAUGGCUUUUAAUCAUAAUGCCUUUGUCAACAUGUGGUGUCUAUCUUUUACUAAUGCCUUUGUCAACAAAUCUUCAAGCAUUUCCUUCAUUGCAUAAUACUUCAUAUCAAUCACUCAUAUUUCAACCUUAUCUCUUAUAAAAAGAUGUUAAAUGUCAAUGUGCUUGGUCCUUGAAUGAUGUUUUAGAUUCUUUGUAAAUGUAAGACAUCCUUGAUUGUCACACUCCAUUGGAGUUGCUUCCAUUUGCACAUCUCCAAUGUCCUCCAAAAGUUGUCUCAACCAUAUUGCCUCCAUUGCACCAUAGCUUGCUGCCAUGUAUUUCGUCUCCAUUGUUGAUAUCGCAAUUGUUGGUUGUUUCUUGCAAUUCCAUGAAAUUGCUCCGACUCGAACAAAGGAUACAUAUCCCAUUAUUGACCUUCUAUCAUUUGCAUCUCUAAUCCAAUCCGCAUCACAAUAACCAUGCAAACUAAUUUUAUCACCUCCAAGGCAUAAUUUGAAGUUCAAAGUACCUUUCAAGUACCUCAUGAUCCUUUUGAUGGUUACCAAAUGGAUUGGUCUAGCCUUUGACAUGUGUUGACUCAUAACACUCACCGCAUAUGCAAGAUCCACCCUUGUGCUAACCAUUGCAUACAUAAGUGAGCCCACUACUACCUUGUAUAGAAUACCUUGCAUUUCACCUUCAACUUCAGCAAACUCUUCAUCCGUGAGCUUCAUCAAUUUCAAGUUUGCUUCCAAUGGUGUUUUAAUAGGCUUACACUCUUCCAAGUUGAAUCAUUUUAACAUUCCUUUAAUGUACUUGCUUUGGCUCAUUGUAAUGGCCUUCUUAGCACGAUCUCUUACAAAUUCUAUUCCUAAACAAUAAUGAAGCUCUCCCAAAUCACUCAUUUCAUACUCCUUUUCUAACUUUACCUUCAACCAAUCCAUCAUCUUCAAUGUAUUGGUUAAGAUGAUCAAAUCAUUAACAUAGAGGAUGACAAUCAAUAUGAACCUAUUUGAUUGCAUUACAUAUAAGGAAUGAUUAACUUCACUCCUUACAAAUCCUUCACUUACAAAGAAUGUAUCAAUGCAUUGGUAUCAUGUCCUUGGUGAUUGCUUUAGCCCAUACGAGGAUUUCUUCAACUUACAAACAAAGUGUUGUUUGCCUUCUUCAACAAAUCCUUGAGGUUGCUCCAUGUACAUGUCUUCUUCCAAACUUCCAUUCAAGAAAGCUAUCUUCACAUCCAUUUGAUGUAUCUCCAAGUCCAAUGUUGCUUCAAUUGUCACAAUGGUUCUAAUGGUGGUGAAUUUGGCCAUGGGAACAAAUUUGUCAUUGAAAUCUACACUAGCAACUUGUGAGUAGCCUUUAGCAAUCAAUCUAGACUUGUAUCUCGCAAUAUUGUCCACUGCAUCCCUUUUGGUUCUAAACACCCACUUACAACCAAUUGAAGAUUGAUUUAGUGGAAGUUGAGUCAAUUUCCAUAUUCCAUUGUCCAUGAGUGAUUUGUACUCUUAUUCCAUAGCAUUCUCCUACUUCAACGCAUCCGUGGACUUUAUUGCAUCACAUAAACUCAAUGGAUCAGCAAGAAGUGCAACAUUGGCAUGUUCUUCACUUACUUGAGAAAAGAUGUGGUCCUUCUACCAUUCACUAUAUGGUUUUCUUUCUCUCAAAGGAUAUCUCCUUUCAUUUGAAGAAGACCCUUCUUCUUGUAUUCCAUCUUCUCUUCCAACCUUCUUCUUCCUCAAUGCUUGUCUUUUCUCACUCAAAAGUUGAUAUUCUUUAUCAUCAUCAUCAUCACCUUCAAUAUUUUCAUUGUCUUCAUUGUUGGUUCUAGCAAUUGAAGGCACACUAUGAUUUAUCUUCUUUGGCACUUGAUCUUGACUUCUAUUUCAUCCAUCUUCAUUGUCAACAUCAUCUUCUUGUUUUUUCUUUGCUGAACUUGAAGAUGUGUCCACAAACACACCUUUACUCCCACUUGGACACUCUUCCAAGUGCUCAAAAGUACUCUUAUGCUCCAAAAACUCUACAUUACGAUUUUUGAUGAUCUUUUUGGUUUCUAAACACAUUAGCCUAUAAGCUUUGGUACCUUCACAAUAUCCAAAAAAUACACAUUUUGUACUUUUUGCAUCAAGUUUGGACCUCAUACAAUCUGGUACCUUUGCAUAAGUAAUGCAUCCAAAAAUCUUCAUAUAUGAAAUACAAGGUUUCUUCCAAUUCCAAGCUUCUUCUGGAGUCAUUGAUGUAAGUGUACUUGUAGGGCACCUAUUCCUUGUGUAUAUCGCAUUUACCACAGCUUCCGUCCAAUACUCAUACUCAAGGUUUUGUAUAUGAAGCAUACUCCUUGCCAUCUCUAUAAUGGUCUAAUUUGAUCUUUCAGCAACUCUAUUUUAUUGUGGAGUGUAACGAGUAGAAGUUUGUCUUGCAAUACCUUGAAUCUUUAUAAAUUCAUCAAAAUGCUUUGACAUGUAUUCACCUCCAUUGUCCAUUCUCAACACUUUGAUCUUACACUCACAUUGUUUCUCUACAAGAGCCUUAAACUCUUUAAACCUUGAGAAACAUUCACUUUUAGCUUUAAUGAUGUAAAUCCACAUCUUUCUUGAAAAGCCAUCUAUGAAUGUGACAAAGUACCUUGCUCAUCUAAUUGAUGGUGUCUUAAUUGGUCCACAAACAUCAGAGUACAUAAUCUCCAACAAUUUAGUUGCACGUGUUGUAAAUCCACUUGGAAAUGAAGCCCUUUGUUAUUUGCCUUGUAUAUAUCCUUCACAAGUAAGUGUCAUGGCAUUGUGGCUGAAUUGACCAAGAUCCAAGCCACUUACUAUGGAUUGGAGCUCCUUCAUGCAUUUGGCAUUCAAAUGACUAAGUCAUUGAUGCCAAAUUCUAAACUUAUCUUGCUCUUGUGGAAAAUCAGCAAAUGCUGCCACUUCAACUCUAUUCACCUUCUUGUAAUUGAUGAAGUAGAGAUUUCCAUCCCUAAGGCCUUUGGCAACAUGUUGGCCAUCCAAUGUCUUGACAAAACAUCUAUUCAUAUCAAAUUGAACCUUACAACCAUGUGAUACAAGUUUGCUCACCGAAAAGAGGUUCUUCUUCAUUUCUGGCACAUGUAGGACUUCCUUCAAUGUGAUCGUCUUGAUUUGGUCCUUCACAACAAUCUCUACCACAAUGGAGCCAAUUUCAAUGGCUUGUACUAUGCCAUUGUCUCCCAACCACACUUUUGUUGCUGAAAUUUCUUGAUAAGUGUCAAAUGAACACUUAUAUGGUGUCAUGUGCUUAGUAAUACCUGAAUCUACAAUCCACUUCGAAAUAACAGCUAUGGAGGCUUCUUUCCUUGCCAUGAAAGAAUACUCAUCUCCACCAAAACUAUCACUAGCAUUGUUUGCAUUCUCUCUAUCUCUUUUCUUAGCCUUGUAGCAAUUUCUAGCAAAAUGACUUAGUUUUCCACAAAUAUAGCAAUUCCUCAUAUUACUUUUUGAAUUAUCACAUUGGUGAGAAUAGCUACCUUUGUCUUGUCUUGAAAAUAGAACUGAAUCAUCACUUGCAAGCUUCUUUUCUUUCCUCUUAGUCACUUCAUGGGCAACUCUUGAUGUGACAUAGUUCAUUGUAAGUUCCUUUAUGUUGAUGGAUUCCAAUGCCAUAAUGAAGUAGUUGUAGGAUUCAGAAAGGCUUAUGAGCAAUGUCAACACAAUGUCUUUAUCAUCAACUGGUUUAUCAACAACUGCUAGUUGGUUAGCAAGUGGUUUUACCUUGUUAACAUGAGCCAUGAGGUCAUCUCCUUCUUCCAUCUUUACUAUCAAAAACUUCUUCUUUGUCCAAAGGAUGUUGGCAAGGUUUCUACUCUCAUAGAUGUUACAAAGAGUCUUCCAUGCUUUCAGUGGUUCAUUAUAAGCUAUAACAUGUGAAAAGUUGGCAUCAUCAAGGUUUAUUGCAAUCAUCCCAAAAGCCUUCCUUUUACGACAUUUGUACUCUUUCUUCACCUUAAUAUCAACAUUGUUACUUGGAGGGUCUUCACUUUCAUCAACAAUGUCCCAAAGGUCCAAUGAAGCAAACAAAAGCUCCAUUUUCUUCUUCUAAUGGUAAAAGUUGUCACCUUUAAACUUUUCAUUCACUUUCAAGCUCUCACCUUCACUUGAAGCCAUAUCUAAGGAAGGGAUGUGUGAAAGAAAAUAAAAAAAAGAAAAGAUAGAACUAUCAAAAUCAACAAGAAGGUGUUACUACCUUAGAAAUCCAGAAUGCCCUCUUUGUAAUUAUACAAGUGAUUUCACUCUUGUAUCACUCUCAAAUUCACAUAUAAGACUUCUUACAAGUCUUAUACUCUAUCUAAAUCUCUUGCAUAAGCUUUGCCACUCUUCAAUCAUCCUUUUUUUUUUUCACAAAAUACUUCUAACUACACAAAACACUUCUUAUAACAAUAGGAGAAUCUCUUACGAAGUUAAGUAUAUGAAAGCACAAAGUUAGAGCACCAAUGAUGAAACUCAACAAAGAAAUACAAUACUAAAGUUCUAAAACAUCAUUAUUUGGAGUCUAACAACAACCAAGACUAUCAAUGCACUCAACAACAAGUAAGAGCAAAAACUACAUCAACAAUUAGAUGCAUAAGAAGGAUUAGAAGAGAGCAAACUUAAACUUCAGCAACAACCAUAAGAUCUAUUCCUUACAACAAGAAAGACUUCAAAGUACUUCAAAAUUCACAAGUAAUGGUGAAUGGGCCCAUAACAUAUUGAAGAACAAGCACUUUGAAGACACAACACUUAACAUCAGCAAGGUUGUACACAAAGAGAGUAUGAAGUAAGAUAUCUCUCACUUCUAAUAUCUAUUACUUAUAGGUAGUGGUUGCUACCCUAAAAGACAACUUCCACUCUUUGACUUUUACACACAUGGCCCUAGGAUCCAUUUGGCAUCUCAUGAGCUUCAAGGAUAUCCUAUAACAUACACUAAUGACUCAUACGUAGUCUUUGGAUAUUCCCUUGUUAAUACUUUAUCCUUUUGACUUUGACUCUUAGUCCAUGACUUCGUCCUAUAUCCAUUCGAUACCCUUUUUAUAUACCAAGAGUCAAAUCUUUGACCACUAGCAACUUACUUAAGUUAAUAUCCUCUAUAAGGUAACUUAUUCUACUUUUACAUUAACACUAACAGAUCUAGUCGGGGAAACUAAGGUGUUGUGUAGGAAUGAUGAUGGUUCUGGCAGCGAUGGAGAAAGCUACUUGCACAAGAAUUUCUGAGGGUUGCGGAGGGAGCAUUCUCUAAGCUAUGACUCAGUUGGUACAAUGUACAAUGUCCUUGGGAGUGCUCUACAUGUGGGUCGAUUCCAUUUGUCUCGACCAGUGCAAUGCUGAAAGCAUGGCCUUCGAGAUCGGGCGGAUGUACUCCUAUUACAAGAAUUCUUAUUGCAAAAUUGUGUGCCUAAAUGGGUUCGGCAAGCAGACCAACCUUGGGGAGAUCGGGCGGAUGUACUCCUAUUACAAGAAUUCUUAUUGCAAAAUUGUGUGCCUAAAUGGGUUCGGCAAGCAGACCAACCUUGGGGAGUGGCCAAGGACUGUGGCAACAUGGUUCAGUCGUAUGUGGACUUUGCAGGAGGGACUCGCUUGCCAUAAGGUUUACUUCAUAGCGGCCCUUGUCACCAGCAUUCUCGCAAGAGUAGUGACAGAAGUGAUGGCAAGUCUGAAACAGGAUGAUACCAUCCAUCACUUAUUAACAACUUCGCUGAUUCAGCAGGUUCAUAGUACCGGAGAUAUUCACCAAGUGACUUCUAACGUUCCUAAACGAGCCAAAUUAUACGAGCAGCUGUGCGCUCGCCUUCCAUGUUGCUGCUGCUCAGUGCAGCGUUCCGCGUACUACAAUGUGGAUGAGAGGGACCUAUGCAUGCAACAGAUGCACUUUCAGAGUCACUUGUACAGUUGGCAGCAGGUCCUUCUUAUAUCUAGGUGGGCUGUGCUCAUCACAUGCACGACAGAUGUGAAGGACGCCUCGAUUGCCUUCGAAUCCCUAGAAGCUGCUUACAAUUUCGGAUUGUGCCGUCGGGCUGAGCGGUCGCUUGAAGUGAUCGAGGUCCUCGAGGAAGUGUGUAAGAGGAGCUGCUCUUAUCCAGAAGAUCGAGUGUUGGCAGUGCUUGGAAUGCUGGGCAUUGGGGUUACCACGACACUGCGCUCUGGUUUAUCAUUGUAUGACCAAAUAAAGUGGCUCUGUGGUGUUGCCCCGCCCAAAAUGAGACAUGCUCUUAUUGUCAAAAACUGUAUCGACAUGUAUCCGAGCAUGCCGGGGUCAUCUUGGAUGCCGGAUUUAUGUCGUCCUGGAACAGGAUGGAUGAGUCAGACUUUAGAAUCACCCAUAGGCGAGUGGGCCUAUGAUGUCGAGACUAACAGAGUCACUGGCAAAGCGCAGAAUCCUUUCUCAGUGAUCAUAAACAAGGUUGAGGAAAAGGAUGCUGGGCAAAUACAGUCGGAGAUGCUUUUGGAGUUGCAAGAGCAGCGUUUGGAACACGAAUUCGAUGUUUCAUGGUGGACCAUAACGUUGUCCUUUGUGCCUCCUGUAGAUCCACCUGACAAUGUGGUCACUGUUGAGGUGUUGUGUGCAGUGAAUACAAACAAGUCCGGAGAAGUCUGGGGUACUGAAUGUUGUUGGGUGAAUGGCUACAAUGGGGGAGCCCUCGAUAUUGCCGACAUAGUUGGUAGCAGUAAUCUGGAAAACUGGCAGGCCGCCAUUGCGAACCAAUCCCUUGUAGGUUUGCCUGUUAUAGAGGACCUCGUGGAGAGGGAGGGGCAGCCAUCUGCAUACGAUGUAGGUGUCCUGCUGUGCACUGGGACUGAAGAACUGUUGCACAAAGUAGGAGGAUUACUGAUAUAUUCUAGCACGGCAAGAGAGGUGGCAAGCCUCAUGUACAGGCACAGGCAAGCCAACCCUGGGGAUCAACUCGUUCAGUUGAACUGAGCUAGCUGAGAGGGUUGGCUUGCCUGUGCCUGUACAUGAGACUGAGCCGAGAUUAAACCCUAGGGAUCGACUCGUUCAGGUAAACCCCAGUAGACACUUGUUGUGCACACUUGAACUAACUAAUAGUUUGUUUGGGUGUAUGGGCAUAGAUUAGGCUGGUCCUUCACAAGAUAUCUCUAUUCACUAAUCAAACCCAUUGUGAUCCUUGCUUAAAAUGAGAUGGGAGUCACUAGGUGUUUCCCUGCAAUUAAACAUUCACACUCCUGAUGGUGAUUACCAGACUGGUAGCCAAGUUCUGGCCAUAUAUGCAGAGUAACUGAGCUCAUUACUUUCCUCUGGGCAAGUUCACUGGCAUUGGGCUGCAUACACAGGAGAUAGUCGAUUGCUGCAGACAGGAGCAGCAAGAGUGUCAAGGACGGCUGUAGACAGGAACAGUGUGAAGGAUAAGAGCAUCCGACAUCCAAGUGAACGUCACGCAAGGGUGGAUCAGGUCCUAGGUUGCCGCUUUUGGACGAUAUGGCGGUGCUGUAGACACCUUGCGUACGUUGCAUAACUGACUUUUGUCUGUUGUGGUAACAUGGGUGCAGAUGAGGCACGCCUCCUCAGGAAUAUGAAUACAAUGGAUCACGACAUACACAAUGCUCUUCAUCUACCCUUAUUUCGAGGGUAUCAAGAACUAGCACUACUGGUUACUUUGUGUAACAACAGAUAUGUAUAGAGCAGAUCUUUGUUUCAGGCAAUACCAAUCAGCUAUGUCAUAUAACUGCGUUUUUCUAUUCUAUCACUUGCUCAGAAGCAUAUAAAACAUGACUUGAUCAUGCUUGUACCCACCCACCCUACCUGACAAGUAUCACUCAAACUGGUAGAAUCAGGUUGUGUCGUGAUGCUUUGUGUUGUUAUUUUUGAGCUGACAUGAACUUGCAAGAUGAGAAUAAACCAAGCACAGUAAGUAAGAGCCCAGUAAUGGGGUGUAAUGUGCUACGCUAUCUCUCUCUCCAAUGCUGCCAAGCGGGAGGAAAAUCGGGGUGUCAAGCAAGUAGAUGUAAGGAUUAGUCUUUGCAAGGAUUAUAUUGACUUCUUGCUCUAAACUUUACUAAGAUUUGACCUUCUGCGGAAAUGACUACUUGAGUACGGAAAGAAGUGUGCUUCUGUUUGCGCUAAGGUGCGAAGGACCUCAUCUCAUGGCGCUGUAUUUUUAGGUUGUGAAUGAUCGUAAUUUACGUUUCACUGAGUACGCAUUUUCAAUGAUUCAGUCUGUAGUGGUGCUGAGUUCGGGAGGUAAUGCUGCCGUAACAAGCAAGCGUGAGGCAUAUGAGAGAUUUGAAGAAGUAGGACUUCAAGUUUAGUGUUCUAGUUAUGUUACAAUCUUUGUGUGUUCACUGAAUUCUGUAUCCAAGUGCAUGCUUGCAUACAUAUUAAUACCUUACUCCUAUGACCAAGCUUAUUUAGGGUUCCUGUAUUUCUAAUGUUGCAUUGGAGAACUUCAGAACUCGAGGAUGAUCAUUAGGAGCCCGUCUGACAGAGGCGAACUCGAUUCUUUUGUAGCAUGUGCAGUGAAGGCGGAUGAUUGAAGUGGUUUUUUGGCCAAUAAAUGUAUCAAGAAGAAAGGUGAUGGCCCUAAUGGGCCGUUUUCGGCACUAUCUCUCACACGGAUGUGGGAGUUCGCCGAGCCGGGCGAGGCUAGGUAGCUUCCCACUGGGCCCCCACUCUGCUCCCUGCCCAGACUCCGCCCCUAAUACAUCCUCCGUCCAGCUAGCUCCUCCCCCCGCCUAGCUGGCUCCCUCAAACCUCUUCUUCUUUUUCACACCUUCCUGUUCCAACCUUUUUCUUCUUCGUCCUCCAAGUGCUGCCAUACAGAGUUUGAGAGUGUAUACAUGUUAUGGUUAGGUUUCAUUCUAUUUAUUUAUUUUCUUCCCUUUUAUUUCAGCUAAUGGAAUAGAAUUUCAUUGUAAGAAAAAGAAUAUAUUUUAAGAUUAAAUAUCAAUGUAUGAAUAUGAAAAUUGCACUUGGAAGUGAAAAUAAUGCAAUGGUCAUUUUUCAUUUGAAAAAGCAAUUUGAGUACUCUUAUCAAUAAUAAAUAAAUAAUAUUAAAGCAUAAUCAAUAACAAGGCAUUCAAUACAAAAUUGUACACACCACUCUUUAUUGCAAAGGCAAUUGGUGAUUACAAUUGCAGCAAGAUACAAAUUUAUCCUCUUUUUUUUAUUAAGGUUUUUGUAACACAUGUAUCACAAGUGACCUAAUGGAUUUUGGGGAAGAUUACUCUCUUCUGUUUUGAGAUAGCCACUAACACAUGAGGACGUAUUGGUGGUGGCCUUGGAACACUUGAUCUUUGUCAAAAAGGAGAUGACAUUGCUACUGAAUUGCUACCUCAAUCGCUCCCAGGCAAGGGAUUUUAACUUCAGCAGUACGCUAUGAUCAGUCUAUACAAUUCCCCUCUUCCUAGGUCGUGCAAGAAAGUUCAAUGAUCCAGUGCCCGAAUCUGACCCUGUGAUGAUUAAAAACACAGGCUCUGAUUUUCCCUCGACCAUAAAGACGAUCAACAGACUCUUCAACCAGGACCUAUCAGUUUCCUGCCACCUCCCGCAGCGCACAGAGCGAUGGCUAACGAAUCGCACGCUGAAUCUUUUGGCAUUCACUCUCUUGUGACAAAUUCGUGAUGUGAAGACAAGGUCAGACUCUUGUCACUCCGACGAGUCUCUCCCUGCUCCUCUUGCUGCAAAGCAGCUAAGGAAUUACAGAAGGUGAGCAGGCGAUGAAAAGAACACAUCCGCUUCUAAACUCUCCUCCUAGUCGCUUUUCUCAAAGCUCAACCCUCUCCCCGGAAUCAAACUGUCACAUACCGGGCGAUAACAUUUUUCAAGACGCCAGACGGAAUACCUACGCUUAUGUGUCGACGAAAGAUACCGGCUGUGUCUGCGCACUACUCCGAAUGAGCCUCACAAGAAUGCAGAUCAACGCUCUCGGAGCUCCAAAACAUCCGCCACUCACAAAACCGCGAAGAUCAGCGGCAGAUGCACAGCAGGAAGCACAGCCAGCGUCCCAAUCACGUGAUGCUUCGUAUCUCCCUGCAAACAAGGUGGCAAAACCUCGAACUGCUGUGUUCUCAUCGACGGGGCCGCAGUGCUGUCGUCCUAUUGAAGACGAAAUCCCUUGCCAUUUGCCACUUGCAAAAGCCCACAUUGCAUGUAAUUUAUAAUUUCAGAGUAAUAAUUUGUAAUAUCAGUUUGGCGAUUUCCUAACGGGACUGAAUCCAGUAUGACAAGUACCCUUUCACAGAUCACAUUGUAUGGAAAUUUUACUGGAAUUUUCCAAGGGGACUAAGUUCGUCAGUAUGACAACUUACUUUCUCUGCUGAAUGAACGUCGCAAGAAGCCGUACGAUGUAAAUCAUACCAUCAUUCUCGUUCUGAAUAUAUCAACGACCAAGAGGACUUCCAAUGGAGACAUGGACGGGCUAGUGAACAUAAUUCAAAACAAGUCACAAACCUGAAGAAAUCUUUGCACCGAUCGAGAUGAACUACAAACUACACAGAACAAUGCUCCCUCAAAUGCUGCCACAUGCAAACAAAUCGGCAACGGAAAAACUCGCACUCACCGAACACUCUGAGAUGCCUCACCGCCACCGUAGAUCGAAGGUGUCGUGAUCGCUGAUGGGUCCCGGUAUAUCCAGUCAGCGAGCAAUCUGUCGGGGCAGCUCGCCCUGUAGGCAGCCCCUCCGCCUCGUUCCCUAGCUCCGCACAUCCCCGAUUACCCUGUUCCCUUUUCCGCCUAAACCCUAAAGCCCUAAAAACUUAGUGGGCUAUUCAGUUGACGGGAAUUUUGGGUUUGAAAUGUCCUCGAUACCCCAGGUACUGUGUAGCUUGCAACCUUAUCUUUGCCUUUUUGGCUCUUCCCAGCUUGGUCGUGAUGAUUUGACCUUGAGAGGCUCCCUCCAGUCAUUGAGCCCUUUCGUUCUUCGGCAGCGGAGGAAUCAGCGCUUGCAUCUCGAUCUUGUAGAGUUUGCGUUGAUCUCAUGCCCUUGAGCUCUCUUUGGCGACCGUCCCCUGGCAACUUUUUCUCUGAAGCGAAGUUGUUGUAGUUGUUUGACUUGUGCGUAAAGCUUCGAAGAUCCUUGGUUUUAAUUCUUCUAGGAUCUUUCAGACGCCGUGCGCACAACAGGGCAACUGACAGGCUAGUAUUUGAGUGGGAUCAAGUCUGAGCGAGCGCUGUAGAGCGAAUUGCUGGUAAAUCUGACUUCAGGCUUCAAUUGUUGGCCAUGAUGUCCGGUUGGUCCGUCGGCGGGCCACGAGAGGCGAAGCAAGUCGCCAUCCGUGUUCCCUGAGAGGAUUAGCUGUCGAGGGGAGUAUGAUUGUGCGUCGCAGCAUGUUGUGAAUUUGUCUGACCAGGGCCCCAGGGAUUGCUGUGGGGACAUCGAGAAUUAGGUUGCGAGGUGGUGGCUAGGUUGUAGCGGAAGUUCUCCGUCCCUCUCUCUCUCAGGUAGUUUCCCCACUUUGCGGAGCGAGAAGCAUUGUUUGUUCGGAAGGCUGGAAAUUGUGGCGCUCCAUGCAGUUGGAAGAUUGAGUCGUUCACACGGGGGCCGGCAUCUCUAGAUUUGCGGAGGGUGUUUAGGAUCUGCCCGGGAUGUUUGGGUGCGAGUCUGUGCAUCGGAAGCGAGUGCAUAAUUUCGUGCCCGAGCCAUCACAGUUGAAAAGGUGCAUUAUGGAGGUGCACAGAUAUCGCAAGCGUACAUCAGAUUGCAGCAAUUACAUCAGCAGUUACAUUGCUGUUGAUAGCGAGCUGCACAAUACUGUUGAAAGUACACGACUGGACGUACCUUUUGACAUUGAUGAAUUGGAGGGGGAUGACCAAUGUACUAUGAGAACGUAUUGUGUGCAGCUGCUUCAAAUACCUGUAAUCGGUGAAUAUCGCAACAAUAUACAUGUAGAGACUGCGAACACAGAUUUAAACCGCAAUGUAGAAUGUGGUACGCCGACUUUUGUGGUGGAUAUAUGGUCGAGUUGUGCGAAGGGGUUAAUUGAAAUAGUUAGAAUAACAGACAAAGCUUACAUUGCUGUCUCUUAUUGUUGGGAACCGUGGGGAGAGCAAUUUCGCAUUGAUGCAGAGAGAUGUGCAGAAAGCAGGGCCUUGCACAAAGCACCGUCGUCCACGGUGCUUGAAGAACAUCCUGGCUUAAUAUCGUCGCUUUCUAGAACAUGUGACAUAUCAGGUUACAUGAAGUUCCUAGGUCUGCUACUACGCACAUGUACUGAACGAUACGCUUGGAUAGAUGCCUUGUGCAUACCACAAUAUAACUGGGGAGUGUUGACAUCAGAAUUAGGGCGCAUGGGUCUUUAUUAUUCAAAUUGUAACCUCUGCUUUGUUCUUAUGGGAACGGAACAACACAUAAUUGCAGAUGUAAAGACGGGGAGCAUGCCUAAAUGGUUUAGUCGAGCAUGGACUUACCAAGAGCACAUGCUUAGCAGCAGAUGCUUUUAUGCAAUUGAACAACAUCAUGGCACAUUUUUAGUGUCAGAGAAUGCAGCAUCUUUGUAUGGUCACUUGAUGCAGAUAUGUAUAUUGCAGAGAGAUGCAUGCUACGACCUGACGAAUAUUGAGAUGACAUGCAUUGUGCACGCACUCCUCCUUGUGCAUUACCAGCUAACAUGCAUGGAGCAAGGGCGUGGAUGGGAGGUGACGGGUGUAUUCUCUGAGAUAGGGAACAGGAAAUGUAAAUUGAUAAAUGAUAAGCUCAACUGCAUAUACGGGCUAUUCGGCAUCAGUGACAUUUCUAGCUUGCCAGACGAAUCCCUAGAGAUAGCUGUUCAGAGAUUUGUAUAUUCACUUCCUGCCACCACUGCAGCGAAACUGAUCAACAUCGAUCCAAGGAGCAAUAACUUCAAGGGCCUGUGCUGGUUUCCUCUGAUUAGCAAUGAGAUGGACUUUUAUGUAGCUGGACAGCUGCUAGAUGAUCUCACACUCCUGAGACACGUGAGUGUAACAGAAAAGGGCCUAUCAGCCAGUGCCCCGUCCCUCAUGUACAUCGGGUAUUCCAAUGAAACAGAGGUGGAUAUCUUGGCAGACUACGGACCGCAAUACGAACUUGUACCUGACAGAUUGCAGCAGCUUAUUCAUGUAAAAUCUUGCACAGGCGACUACUUUGGGGCCAUCACUUACGAUGUGGUGAAAAUGCCCUGCACAAUGUUUGGGAUCAUAACUGGAAAGACCCGCAUUCAACCAGAAGAUGACAAGAAGUGCGGGUAUGUCAUCACGGUGGUCGCUGAGCAAGUGCAGUGUCUGCCGCUUGACCUACAAACAGAAGCUGACUGCAAGUAUGUGCGUAAGGUAGGCACACUAAUGUUAGAACUAGAUACAUGUGUUGUUGGCUCAUACUCAAGAGUGACGUUCAUUUAGUCAGCCACUCAUGAUAAUGCUUUACAAGAAUGUCCAGAUUUGGGAACCUUGUACUGUGCUCUCCGUUGUUUGCAAAUUUGAAGCAAAGUAGUACAUGCAUUACAACAAUCUUAUAAAGUUUGUUUAAUUUCUAUGCUAAGUUCUAGCCAUUUGUACGAUAUUCCUCUAAAUUUGGUGCACGCAAUAUGUGAUGGAACCUCAACGAAGUAUCCACUAGCGAAUUGUACCAACACAUAUCCUCCUCUUGCAGAUAUUCCACACCCUGGCAAUAUACCAGCACAAGGCGUCUCCAUGGUUGUCCCAGAUGCCAUCAUCAUUUGGUACUAGGAUAUUGCAACUAAUCUCACACACUUUGACGCCCAAAGUAAGCUUGUAGAAGAGACCAUAAAUAUUACAGGUCUGUACUGAAGAAGGCAUGCUGUUCAGGACAAGGCCGAAUUUCUUUUUGUACACUAAUAUUGCAUCACGGUCACGCAAUGGCAGUGCCCCAUAUGCACUGUUGUCUUCUGACACUAAGAUACUACAUUGUAGUAUGUGUGUUACCAUCUGCCAUACAGUAAAAGGUUGUGUGUUCAUGUACCAUUUAAUAUUUGGUGCAACAAGGACAAACUCCUCCAAGAUCUUGCAACUGCCUUUGACAGGGAACGAUUCAGUGCCUUCUGGUGCAGUCACAAUUCUGAAAGGCUCCUUCAUUUGCAUAUGAUUGUACACCGAAAGUAUCAAGGAUUCUACAUUCAUCGUAGUGGCUGCAUAUCAUUUCCGCGGUUUCUGUACAUCCAUAGCACCACGCAGGUGAUUGAAAGCAAAACAGGGUCUUGAAUGGUGCCAGCAUCAAAAUUCUUUCCCCAAAGCACAGCCUUCACAAAAGCUUGCAACGUCUUCUUAAUGGCCGUCAUGCUUGUGCGGAGAUUAUAAGGAUUCUGUAUCUGGAUCAAUCUACCCUUUGCAAAUACACGAUCUCCCUUGCACAGCAUAUUGUGGUAUGAAUCUUGUUCUUCAUUCAGCACACAACUAGAUUUAACGGUCUUCCAUGCAUCUUUACGAUCUAUAUGCUCCAAGCUUGGGAGCCAAGUCUGUCCAUGGACCAAUUGAGGCCUCAGCGGGAGGACACAGAUUCCACGCUUCACAAGGUCCUUCACGGCCUCCAGGAACACAUCUUUGAAUUUUCUUUUGUAACCCACAUGAGCCAUCUCUAUACCCAAGAGAGCGCACACACC
rnacentral:lncRNA from 1 species